rnacentral:tRNA from 10 species
UCAAUAUCUUUCUACCGAUAUAUUUCUUUACUCAUCCUAAUGUGAGAAUAUAUGUCAGGAUAUAUGAAAAUAUUUAAGCAAUGAAAAACCUGGGGAAAGAAAAGAAAUGAAAGUCAACAGUGGGAGUAAUAUUUGCAGAAAGGAGAAAGUUAAUUUGAGCAAAAUGAAAUAAUUAAUACACUACAUGUUUCCUCUAUGUAAAAAUUAUACUAAAUAUCUUUUAGAUUAGUCAUGUUGCUUUGAGACUUUUCCAUGUUUCCUCUAGACAGCUGCCAAUGUUCGCAUGGUCUCUGAUGAAUAAACAUGCUGUGACUUGCUUCUAAGGAAACGCCUGUCAUGUUCCAGGGAAAAAUGACUUCUACACUCUUAAAUCAGGAAAACUGUACAAGUCUCAUUCAUUAGUGACAACGUCGAUUUUUCCUUAACGUUUCUAUUUCUGGAAUGCUCGUAUUCUCAUUAGGGCAUUUCUGCAUUCAGAUUAACUAAGAAAAUAAACUAUGUUGGAGGAACACUUAUGCUGGGGGGAAAAAUCUUGUACUACAUCAAACGAGUUUCCUACUUGAGAAACUCAACUAGCAUCCAGGUUACUCCUGAACUAUUUACUAAGACCAAGGUUAUUUUCAGGUUUUCUUCAUCUCUUGCAGAACUACCUGUUCUCAUUACUGUUUACUCAAACGCUUAACAAGGUAACUAUUAGCAUAUCUGGCAGGAAGACAUGCCUCAUUUAAUAUUAACUCACCAUGUGACAGCCCCCUUCCUCUCUUCUCAAACAUGUGAGGAUAAAAAGAAAAGUAGAGUUGUUUGCAAUCUGAUUUGCGCUGGGUUUUGGAACCAGCAAUUGGCCACAGGCACACACACCCCCAAUCAGAGGCGCGCACCCCGCUCGCUCCCGGAACUGUCAUGCGGGCUGACAGCUGGCACACCCUCCUGUCGCCCUCCACCCGCCUGCAGAAAGCCCACUCCCUACAGUCACCUUGACAUUGCUCACCUGCCUGGGCCUCAGCCCAUGACCAAGGAAACUUUUGCCCUCCCUCCCCAGGAGCUCACUUACAGGCCAUCUUCAAAGGUACUGCCUACCUGAACCUGCCUUGUCCCAAAGGACACACUUCAAUCUGGGGAGAGUUUAAAGUUGUAGACAUAUCCAUUUUCAUUUAAGGAAUAUGAAGAUCAGGGAGGCAAAAUAUAGAGAUAUAGAGAGGAAAAACUGAGAGAUGAUCAGAAAUUCAGACGCAUUCGGAAUGAGCACCCUUGACCAUACCAAGAACAAAGACUCUAUAAAAAUGUGAAGUCUUAUUAUUGUUCAUCCAUGUUCUACGUGGGAUCCACCCAAGACAUUGAAAACUGUACAGAACAGGGUGAAAUUGAAUCAGAUCAUUCUGUACUCCUAACAAGGUCCACCCCAUGAGAGACUUGCAGCAGAAUUAAUGACACUGUAUAUUUUCCUCUACUAACAACAACAAGAACAACAACAACAACAAUCUAGGAAAAUCAAAGGCAGCCCGACAUGGAAAAAAACACAAAAUGAAUAUUUGGAUUACAAAUAGUGUGAUGGGAAGAACACACUGCCAAAAGUCCACCUAGUAUGUUGAAAUUACUGUUUCUAGCACAUAUAAGAUUUGCUGCCAAUUUGUACUGACUUCUGAAAAAUACUUUAUCCAUUGUCUUCUUACAUCAGAAUCAACUCCCUAAAUUCUUCAGCACUGGCUUUGUAAACUGGUUUCUGGUCUUUGUUUCUGUCAACUUACCUAUAAAAGGAUACAAAAACUGAAGAACAGAGAGGAGCAGAUACCCUGGAAAGCCGAAAGUUUUAUUGACCAAAGACUGAGUCUCGGAAUGUUUUGAUUGUGGAGUUUAUAGAGUUCAGGCUGAAGUUUUAUAAAAAUAACUUGCAGCAGCAUGGAGGACUGAUGAGAAAGUAGACAGAUGCUGGAAGCAGGAAAACUGAACAGCAGGUCACUGGCCAAGGAGAAUCAAAGAGCUAGAUGCUGAGAAUAAUGCAGCCAUAACGUGAAAUCUUUUUGAGACCACUCACUCUGGGAGAAAGCAACUGGCUAUGUCAUGAGGAAAUUGAAACCACCUAUGGAGAAAGGCCCACAUGGUGAGAAAGUAAAGCCUCUUCCCAAUACCAAAAUUCUGUAAGUCUGCUACGGUGACAUUUCUGGUUAGGAGUCAGAGUGGAUGGGACACUGAGCAAUAAGAAUGCAGAGACAUGAUGGCUGAAGCUGGAGCUUUUCCCUGAAGCAACCACCUGUUGGAAACUUCAUGUUGAAGAUGACUGAAUAAUAAGACAGAGGGGUCUGGGUCCCUGGUGGAUAUUCCAGAUCUGGGUGUUCGUGGAGAUAUGAGAAAGCAAUAAACUUCAAUUUUGCUUAAAUAGCUGUUACUUGGGGCAUUCUGUCAUUUAUGGACA